GUUUUUAUACAAAUUGAUGAUCAAGAUACUUCUGAUUGUCUCCUCUUCCAAACUGAAAAGGGGAAAUUGAAACAGAAUUAGGAAAGAAAAAACUCAAAAAAGCCAUGAAGGCAAAAAUCAAGGGAAAUAACUGAUUGUGAGCCCCAGGAGGACAAGGAUGCGGACAACGUAAUUACCACCAGCACAUGCUUUCCUCAGAAGUCUCCUAUCCUUCCUUCCACCCACAUCUCCGCUUUGGAAAAAAGACAUUAAUAUGUGGAAAAUUAUGUUCUGCUACUACCUGGAUAAGAAAACACCGAACAAAUUCAGCACCUACAGGACCACUCAGUGUGAUGGUCAUAACUAAUGUGACACCUGAGUUGAAUCCAUCCCGACUCCACAUAUACCCUGGAGCUUGCUGUCAUGGACAGAGGCAAGAGAUUUCUCAUUCUUCCCUUCUGUGUGCAGAACAUGUGGCUCCAGGACUCACCAUUUUAAAUCAGUGAGGGAAUCACAUGCAGCCAAAGCCCUUCCCAUAUUUGUCCUCUUGCUCUAAAUCAAAAGCAUUGCCUUUACCUUCUGAUUUUUUUAGCAGCAAAUAAAACAUUUUAACAUUAGAAACCAC
rnacentral:lncRNA from 1 species